AUGGAAAGACCAGGUGGAUCCACACCUUUGGCAGUAUGGAGUAAUCUUUGGAAAUUAUCUGUUCCACGUAAAGUUCAAAUUUUCUGUUGGAGAGUGUUACGAGGGAUCGUCCCGCUAAGAGCCAUCCUAACUAAUAGGCACGUUGGCUCCAACGGCGCCUGUCCUAUCUGCCACCAGGACGCGGAGGACAUCCGACAUCUCUUGUUCCAGUGCGUGCAUGCGAGGUACCUGUGGACCAGACUUGGUAUGAUGGAUCUCAUUGACCAUUCACUGUUGGUGGAUAGAUCCGGUUCAGUUAUUUUUGAGCAUUUACUUUCACUGCCGGAGAUCCAUUUGCUUAUACACCCAAAUAUAAAUUUUAAAGAAGCUCUUGCAGUGGGAGGCUGGUAUCUUUGGUGGAUUCGG
rnacentral:rRNA from 1 species